AUUGAACGCUGGCGGCAGGCCUAAUACAUGCAAGUCGAGCGAGCGGCGGACGGGUGAGUACUGUCUGGGAAACUGUCUGAUGGAGGGGGAUAACUACUGGAAACGGUAGCUAAUCCCGCGUACCAUCAGCUGUGCCCAGAUGGUAUUAGCUAGUCGGUGGGGUAACGGCUCACAUAGGCGACGAUCCCUAGCUGGUCUGAGAGGGUGAUCGGCCACACUGGAACUGAGACACGGUCCAGACUCCUACGGGAGGCAGCAGUGGGGAAUAUUGCGCAAUGGGCGAAAGCCUGAUGCAGCCAUGCCGCGUGUGUGAAGAAGGCCUUCGGGUUGUAAAGCACUUUCGGCAGGGAGGCGUUACCCGCAGAGGAAGCACCGGCUAACUCCGUGCCAGCAGCCGCGGUAAUUC
rnacentral:rRNA from 1 species